GGCACUGGUGUUAGCCUAUCAGUGGCACAUGCUUCUGCUACAAUCAGUGCAGACUGGAGAGUGAAAGCAUGGCUACUCCUAAAAUAAGAGAUCCCAACUGAAAGUCAGCUUUUCAAGGGAGACCCUUGACAACCCAGGCCUACUGGGCUGUUUCUAAGUGCACUGUGUGAGUCCCAGAGUCUCAUGGCAAGCACUUUGCUCCUAAAAGCCUAGAACCAGUGAAUCCGGAUUCCUCCUAAAGAAGCGCAGAGUUAAGGAUGCAGCAACAGAGACCUAAGUAGCUAAACUUUUCCCCAUCUCCCAAGCAGCCCAAAAAGGCAGAAGGUCUGAGAUCCUUUCACAAUGAUCUCUAUCACUGGAGUAUGAAUACAGCUUGGAGUAUGGCAAAGACCAAGGAGGAUUUACCCUGUCCAUCUCAGAACUGUUCAUGGCAAUUGUCUUCCAAGUAUCACGGGACAGCACAGGCCACUUGUCCGUGUUGCUGCACAGUUGCCAGUUGAGCAUUGGUAGUGUAAAAGUCAAGUUAAAUGAAGGAUCUAGGUAUGUAUGCUAGCUGGAUCUAUAGCUUCCUGUCUGGUUUUCUUGAGAAGGCCGUUCAUUCCAAACUGAAUGAAAAUAUAUGCCUAAAUAUCAAAUACAAAAUACAAAUGAUGGAUGCACAGCUUAGAAAGCAGAAGGGGCACGGUCUAUCCAGUAGGAAAUCACACAGACCCUCCCUUUGUGCCUGCUCCAUUCGAUCUCCCAAACAAGAUCAAUUCUAUGCUCUACUUAGGAGUCUCCAAUUAUUUUCUUAAGUCUGCUACACUGGCUUACUACAGAGCUGGGGUCUUUAACAUCACCAUCUCCAAAGAUCUUGCUGCUGCUUUUAACCUAACUACAGCCAUACUGAAGGAUUUUGUUCCUGAGAUUGCUCUGCAUUGCCCAACAGCGUGCCCGGUGCUUCUGAAGCUGAUGGCUACAUCACCACCUGUUGUCAGUUUGCAGUCAGACACAUGCAGACUAUGGAUCACCGGGUCUGUAGAGGUGUUUGCUGUUCUGCCAAAUUCAACCAUCCAGUACAUCUUUACAGGGAAUCUGUGUGUCCCCAGACAUCUUUUCAUUAGGUUGAAAGUGAUCCAGUUAAGUCAGCCAUGCAGGGAUUUAAAUGAUACUGAUGAUAAGGAGGCAAUCAGGGCAGUAUUAUCACUUCACUCAGACAACAAGUACCAGAGGCAAUUUGACAGUAAUCAAACAGAAGCUGAUCAUCUCAAUACUUCUGAAGAGGCUUCAGUUGUCCCUGCUGCACUCUGCUGCUGGCUUCUCUCAGGUCUCACUGGUGGAGAAUUUUCUGUCUUACACUUUACGGAGGGUAGUGAUCCCAGUAAUCAAUGAUAAAUUAGGAAAAGGAUUUCCUCUUCCUAACUUGGCCCACACCAGCCUCGUUGGACCUGUAAUAAAAAUGAAUCAGGGUCAUCUUGUGAUUUUCUCUGAUGUUCACUACAAACAUGAGCAAGGGGAAGACGAGGACCUUCACAGACACCCCUAAUGCCCCUUUUCUUUCAAACAAUAAUAGAGAAAAAAGAGGUCUUCCUUCUGUUGGCUUGUACGGAGUAGAUGUUAUAACAUUAGAAGAGUGGAUCUUGGUCACUAUUUUUGAUGUUUCUUCACUUUUCAUAAACCAAAUCUGUUGGUUUUUAGUAUAGUGGGUAUAGCCGACUUCUACUGAUGCUUUAGGAACCUUGUUGCAGUCUGAUGGGAAGGAGUGGCUGGGUCUUCUUGUGUUAUAAACACCAACUUUUAUUGAUUUCAGGAACCAGUUAUUACAUUAUUCAACUUAUCUCCACUGGUGUUAGCAACAUUUUAUGUGUAGAGUGAGAUCUUAUUUUUUGUAGCAUUUUCACAGUUUGUCCCUUUGUAACUGAAUACCAUGAGUGGGAACAGAUUUAUGAAAUCUAAUGAAUUAUCGUAGAAUUACAGAAUCAAAAUUUAUCUUGAAGUAACCUCCAAAGGCCAUCUAGUCCAGAGAUCACCUAAGAACAGGACAAAUUAGAUAUGUUGCUGCAGGCUGCGUCCAUGUGAGUUUUGAACCCCUCCAAGGACAGAGAUUCUACAACCUUUCUGGGCAACAUUUUCUGCUAUUUAACCAGCUUCAGAGUAAAUUUAUCUUCCUGAUAUCGAAUCAGAAUUUCCCACAU
rnacentral:lncRNA from 7 species